AUUGAACGCUGGCGGCAGGCUUAACACAUGCAAGUCGAGCGGGGGAAGGUAGCUUGCUACUGGACCUAGCGGCGGACGGGUGAGUAAUGCUUAGGAAUCUGCCUAUUAGUGGGGGACAACAUCUCGAAAGGGAUGCUAAUACCGCAUACGUCCUACGGGGGAAAGCAGGGGAUCUUCGGACCUUGCGCUAAUAGAUGAGCCUAAGUCGGAUUAGCUAGUUGGUGGGUAAAGGACUACCAAGGCGACGAUCUGUAGCGGGUCUGGGAGGAUGAUCCGGCCAACUGGGACCGAGACACGGCCCCGACUCCUACGGGGGGGAGCAGUGGGGAAUAUUGGACAAUGGGGGGAACCCUGAUCCCGCCAUGCCGCGGGUGUGAAGAAGGCCUUAUGGUUGUAAAGCACUUUAAGCGAGGAGGAGGCUACUCUAGUUAAUACCUAGGGAUAGUGGACGUUACUCGCAGAAUAAGCACCGGCUAACUCUGUGCCAGCCGCCGCCGUAA
rnacentral:rRNA from 1 species